CCUCGGGAGGCAGCAGUGGGGAAUAUUGGACCAUGGGCGAAAGCCUGAUCCAGCCAUGCCGCGUGUGUGAAGAAGGCCUUCGGGUUGUAAAGCACUUUCAGUGGGGAAGAAAGCCUUGGGGCUAAUACCCUCGAGGAAGGACAUCACCCACAGAAGAAGCACCGGCUAACUCCGUGCCAGCAGCCGCGGUAAUACGGAGGGUGCGAGCGUUAAUCGGAAUUACUGGGCGUAAAGCGCGCGUAGGCGGUCUGAUAAGCCGGUUGUGAAAGCCCCGGGCUCAACCUGGGAACGGCAUCCGGAACUGUCAGGCUAGAGUGCAGGAGAGGAAGGUAGAAUUCCCGGUGUAGCGGUGAAAUGCGUAGAGAUCGGGAGGAAUACCAGUGGCGAAGGCGGUCUUCUGGACUGACACUGACGCUGAGGUGCGAAAGCGUGGGUAGCAAACAGGAUUAGAUACCCGUGUAGUC
rnacentral:rRNA from 1 species